GCUCUUCGUAAUUUGCAAUGUUUCUCUUCAUGAUGUCCAUGCAGGGGCCCAGCAACCUCUCAAACGCCUGCACGUCCAUAACUAGUAAACACAAGAGGAGAGGUGUCAAUACACAGGAUGGGAAGCCAUAACUAGUAGACACAAGAGGAGAGGUGUCAAUACACAGGAUGGGAAGCCAUAACUAGUAAACACAAGAGGAGAGGUGUCAAUACACAGGAUGGGAAGCCAUAACUAGUAAACACAAGAGGAGAGGUGUCAACACACAGGAUGGGAAGCCAUAACUAGUAAACACAAGAGGAGAGGUGUCAAUACACAGGAUGGGAAGCCAUAACUAGUAAACACAAGAGGAGAGGUGUCAAUACACAGGAUGGGAAGCCAUAACUAGUAAACACAAGAGGAGAGGUGUCAACACACAGGAUGGGAAGCCAUAACUAGUAAACACAAGAGGAGAGGUGUCAAUACACAGGAUGGGAAGCCAUAACUAGUAAACACAAGAGGAGAGGUGUCAAUACACAGGAUGGGAAGCCAUAACUAGUAAACACAAGAGGAGAGGUGUCAAUACACAGGAUGGGAAGCCAUAACUAGUAAACACAAGAGGAGAGGUGUCAAUACACAGGAUGGGAAGCCAUAACUAGUAAACACAAGAGGAGAGGUGUCAACACACAGGAUGGGAAGCCAUAACUAGUAAACACAAGAGGAGAGGUGUCAAUACACAGGAUGGGAAGCCAUAACUAGUAAACACAAGAGGAGAGGUGUCAACACACAGGAUGGGAAGCCAUAACUAGUAAACACAAGAGGAGAGGUGUCAACACACAGGAUGGGAAGCCAUAACUAGUAAACACAAGAGGAGAGGUGUCAAUACACAGGAUGGGAAGCCAUAACUAGUAAACACAAGAGGAGAGGUGUCAAUACACAGGAUGGGAAGCCAUAACUAGUAAACACAAGAGGAGAGGUGUCAACACACAGGAUGGGAAGCCAUAACUAGUAAACACAAGAGGAGAGGUGUCAAUACACAGGAUGGGAAGCCAUAACUAGUAAACACAAGAGGAGAGGUGUCAAUACACAGGAUGGGAAGCCAUAACUAGUAAACACAAGAGGAGAGGUGUCAACACACAGGAUGGGAAGCCAUAACUAGUAAACACAAGAGGAGAGGUGUCAAUACACAGGAUGGGAAGCCAUAACUAGUAAACACAAGAGGAGAGGUGUCAAUACACAGGAUGGGAAGCCAUAACUAGUAAACACAAGAGGAGAGGUGUCAAUACACAGGAUGGGAAGCCAUAACUAGUAAACACAAGAGGAGAGGUGUCAACACACAGGAUGGGAAGCCAUAACUAGUAAACACAAGAGGAGAGGUGUCAACACACAGGAUGGGAAGCCAUAACUAGUAAACACAAGAGGAGAGGUGUCAACACACAGGAUGGGAAGCGGUGUGAUUGUAAGCAGAGCUGUCCUCACAUCACAUGUACAGGUCCUAAAAAGGAUCCACAUGAACAACAACUCCACUUUGUUAUCAUGUUAUAAUACCCCUCUAUUCCAUGCUGUAGUGUAAAGUGUUACCAUGUCACAACAAGUGAAUGGCAGAGAAGGCUUUUGUUGGCUUUUACCUAAAUACAGAAGUGCUUCUCUCAAAAGCUGGUGCUUUCAAUAAGACAGUUAUAUCAUGGACUGAAACAGGAAGUCAAACAGUUAUAUCAUGGACUGAAACAGGAAGUCAAACAGUUAUAUCAUGGACUGAAAAAGGAAGUCAAACAGUUAUGUCAUGGACUGAAACAGGAAGUCAAACAGUUAUAUCAUGGACUGAAACAGGAAGUCAAACAGUUAUGUCAUGGACUGAAACAGGAAGUCAAACAGUUAUAUCAUGGACUGAAACAGGAAGUCAAACAGUUAUAUCAUGGACUGAAACAGGAAGUCAAACAGUUAUAUCAUGGACUGAAACAGGAAGUCAAACAGUUAUGUCAUGGACUGAAACAGGAAGUCAAACAGUUAUGUCAUGGACUGAAACAGGAAGUCAAACAGAACAUACGGUGUAGUAAAU